UACAGAGGGUGCGAGCGUUAAUCGGAAUUACUGGGCGUAAAGCGUGCGUAGACGGUUAUUUAAGUCGGGUGUGAAAGCCCCGGGCUCAACCUGGGAAUUGCAUUCGAGACUGAAUAGCUAGGGUACGGUAGAGGGAAGUGGAAUUUCCGGUGUAGCGGUGAAAUGCGUAGAUAUUGGAAGGAACAUCAGUGGCGAAAGCGGCUCUCUGGGACGGUACUGACGCUGAGACGCGAAAGCGUGGGGAGCGAACAGG
rnacentral:rRNA from 1 species